rnacentral:rRNA from 1 species
GAUGAACGCUGGCGGCGUGCUUAACACAUGCAAGUCGAACGGAAAGGCUCCUGCUUGCAGGGGUACUCGAUUGGCGAACGGGUGAGCAACACGUGGGUGUUCUGCCCUUCACUUCGGGAUAAGCCUUGGAAACUGGGGCUAAUACCGGAUAGGACAACAUUAUGGAUGGUGUGGUGGAAUGUUUUGCGGUGUGGGAUGAGCUCGCGGCCUAUCAGCUUGUUGGUGGGGUAAUUGCCUACCAAGGCGUCGACGGAUAGCCGGCCUGGGAGGGUGGACGGCCACAUUGGUACUGCGAUACGGACCAGACUCCUACGGGCGGCAGAAGUCGGGAAUAUUGCACAAUGGGCGCAAGCGUGAUGCAGCGACGCCGCGUGCGGGAUGACGGCCUUCGGGUUGUAAACACCUUUCGCUAGGGACGAAGCGCAAGUGACGGUACCUGGAGAAGAAGCACCGGCUAACUACGUG